ensembl:piRNA 21ur-4401 ncRNA
AUAGAAAGGUUUUUCGCAAGC